rnacentral:rRNA from 1 species
UACGGAGGGAGCUAGCGUUAUUCGGAAUUACUGGGCGUAAAGCGCACGUAGGCGGCUUUGUAAGUAAGAGGUGAAAGCCCAGAGCUCAACUCUGGAAUUGCCUUUUAGACUGCAUCGCUUGAAUCAUGGAGAGGUCAGUGGAGUUCCGAGUGUAGAGGUGAAAUUCGUAGAUAUUCGGAAGAACACCAGUGGCGAAGGCGGCUGACUGGACAUGUAUUGACGCUGAGGUGGCGAAAGCGUGGGGAGCAAACAGG